CCCUUAGAUGUUCUGGGCCGCACGCGCGCUACACUGACGAUGGCAACGAGUUUUUCCUUCGCCGAAAGGUGUGGGUAAUCUUUUGAAACAUCGUCGUGCUGGGGAUAGAUCAUUGCAAUUUUUGAUCUUGAACGAGGAAUUCCUAGUAAGCGCGAGUCAUCAGCUCGCGUUGAUUACGUCCCUGCCCUUUGUACACACCGCCCGUCGCACCUACCGAUUGGAUGGUCCGGUGAAGCCUCGGGAUUGUGGCGGUUGCCUUUAUUGGUGUCCGCCGCGAGAACUUGUCUAAACCUUAUCAUCUAGAGGAAGGUGAAGUCGUAACA
rnacentral:rRNA from 1 species